rnacentral:misc_RNA from 1 species
CAGGUGCAGCAGCACCUCCCCUCCCUUCAGCUUUGUGUGGAGGCGGUUACAGCUGCUUUUUUACGAUGAACCAUCCAAAGCUGCUGCCGAGUCAGGAGUUAGUGCUCCACCAUGUUAGCGUUGACAGUUUCUCGCCGGCCACAGCAUCGGUGUUGAAGUUUCCGGCAUCACCGCUGCUACCGCGCUCCCCGUUCUCGAAUGCGUGCGCAGGCCAAGCGUCCGCACCAACAGUGCCGUGCUCGCCGCUGAACGACUCCAGCACCAUCGCGGCGCCAUCCAUCGUCCGCCCUCAAAUACGCCAGCGUGAUCAGUGGGAGUCGUCACUGGUGGACGUGGACGCCUUCGUGCUAGGUCCCGACAGCCUCUACACAUCGAGCUUUGACCGUCGCGAACCGGUGUCGGUCCGCUACAUAGCAGAUAAGCUUGAUCGUGCGUGGCUGUCUCGGCGUCCAGUUUUAGCUAUUCGCGGGGACGAUGGCGCUGUGUCUGCCGUUCGGGGUAAAACUGGCGGUGCUGGUAGCCACAUGCCGAUUCUGUCGAAACUGAGCACGUCUGUGCUGGAGGACACUUUCACAGCACUGGAGCUGGCUGCCCAUGGACACCCUGAGGUCCCGCUGGAGCGUCUUCUGCUGUACGCGAGACCUUUUCUAGGCGAAAAGGAUGUCGGCGAGGAGGUCCUGGAGGAACUGAAUUCCUACUGGCUACUGCGUCGCAGUGGGACAGGGGGACUGCUACCAGGCAUUCCGGACCUGCGUGUUACCGUACGCGAGGACAACGAGCUGGCACUUUGCCACCCUACAGUGCUGAGGGACUGUCCAUUGCCGUUUAAACAGCGGGAUUGGUACGUCCCCGUGGUGGAGCGUCGCCGACCCACCCCCGUAGGUGACGCCCCCUCCGCCAAGCGUGCUCGGGGCGAGGCAUCGCCAGGAGGCUCGAGCUCCAGAUCGCUUGUUGCGCAGCUUCAGGCCUGUGAAGCAUACGCGGUGAAGGCGGUGAGCCUGAGUCGGGCGAUGCUUCGCCGCGAGGAAACGCGUCAGGUGCACACGCAGAUGACCGUGUAUGAGCUAGCAUCGUUGCGUAGUGUGGUGGAGGGGGCGCGAGAUGACAGUGACGUGGUGGGGGCAUCGCUGCCCGCAUCGGCACUGUCGCGCUGCCUGGUGGCGUUGUUGCGACCGACCGAGAGGGGCGCAUGGCUUGACCCGCAGACGCAGUAGCCAAAGCAACGUUAAUAUGGUGCGUAGUGCACGGCUGUGUUGAUGUGAGGGUUGGCAAGAAGGGGGGCACAAUGGAUCCCGGCAUCACCAGCCACGCUCUCCAUCUUUCUUGGUAUCUGCACCCCCGCACAGGCGCGUCACUUUACAAAAGGGCAGGAGAACAAGGUAAAAUUUCAGUGAUAGCAUCCACAGUGCUGUGCUGCAGAGUGCAAUGCAGGCUGAGACAGCUGAUGCUUUUGUGCUGCCACAAGGGCCGCUAACACUACUCAGCAGACCACUGCUUC